rnacentral:lncRNA from 1 species
CCAUAAACAACUUCAUAAAUCAAACAUUAAUUCAUUAAAUCGAUUCUCUUUACUAGAAUCAAUACUAACACAAAAGAAACAAGAAAACUAAGAAGAAGAGAUAGCACUAAGCUUAUCCCUGGCUCAGUACUAUCGUAGUCUGGUCCUCUGCUCACAACUCUCACAGUCUGGCAUUUUCUUCCCCUCUCCCAUCCUCCUUAUAUUAUCUUGAGAUACCAACUCCUAUACUAUAGAUGAUAACUACUUUUCCUAACUAUUCAUCCAUUCUACCUACUGAACCACCUUUUCAACAAUUAUCUAUCUCUGUUUACACUAUACACUAGAUAUCUACAUUCUGAAAAUAACUACUUAUUCUAUACUUAUUGAAGAAAAGAAGUCUAUAAGCUACAAAUACUUAGCAUCAGCAAGGAUUGUUGUCCAGAGAAGUGAAGAGAAAGAUUAUUCUUCCUUCCAACACUUUUUACUUAUAGGUGGUAGUUUGCUCACCAACGAGGCAACUUUCAUCCUUUGGAUAUUAUAUCUAUUUCUACCUCA